AUUGAACGCUGGCGGCAUGCCUUACACAUGCAAGUCGAACGGCAGCACGGGAGCUUGCUCCUGGUGGCGAGUGGCGAACGGGUGAGUAAUGCAUCGGAACGUGCCCUGAAGUGGGGGAUAACGUAGCGAAAGUUACGCUAAUACCGCAUAUUCUGUGAGCAGGAAAGCAGGGGAUCUUCGGACCUUGCGCUUUUUGGAGCGGCCGAUGUCGGAUUAGCUAGUUGGUGGGGUAAAGGCCCACCAAGGCGACGAUCCGUAGCGGGUCUGAGAGGAUGAUCCGCCACACUGGAACUGAGACACGGUCCAGACUCCUACGGGAGGCAGCAGUGGGGAAUUUUGGACAAUGGGCGCAAGCCUGAUCCAGCCAUGCCGCGUGAGUGAAGAAGGCCUCGGGUUGUAACCGUACUUCUAGCAGGGAAGAAGCGAAAGUGACGGUACCUGCAG
rnacentral:rRNA from 1 species